ACAUCAAUAAAUACUUCAUCAUACUUCGGACAAACUUAGCAUCAAUCCAAAUUACCGUAAAUGAUCCAAGACCAAUUAAGAGGUAGAUUUGAAAUGGAGAAAGUUCAUCAAGCAUCAAUCCACACAUCAUUAACCAGAUGGACAAAAACCAUUCAAUUGAUCUAGAGGAAAAGAAAUAGAUGAAGAAGAAGAGGACAAGAGAGAUGACACCCAAAUUAUAUCAAAGGUUUGAUCAAG
rnacentral:lncRNA from 1 species